GGUUAAGCGACUAAGCGUACACGGUGGAUGCCCUGGCAGUCAGAGGCGAUGAAGGACGUGCUAAUCUGCGAAAAGCGCCGGCGAGGUGAUAUGAACCCUUGACCCGGCGAUGUCCGAAUGGGGAAACCCAGUGCAAUCCGUUGCACUAUCGUUAACUGAAUACAUAGGUUAACGAGGCGAACCGGGGGAACUGAAACAUCUAAGUACCCCGAGGAAAAGAAAUCAACCGAGAUUCCCCCAGUAGCGGCGAGCGAACGGGGAGCAGCCCGGAGUCUGAAUCAGCUUGUGUGUUAGUGGAACGGUCUGGAAAGUCCGACGGUACAGGGUGAUAGUCCCGUACACGAAAGCACACUUGCUGUGAACUCGAAGAGUAGGGCGGGACACGUGGUAUCCUGUCUGAAUAUGGGGGGACCAUCCUCCAAGGCUAAAUACUCCUGACUGACCGAUAGUGAACCAGUACCGUGAGGGAAAGGCGAAAAGAACCCCGGCGAGGGGAGUGAAAAAGAACCUGAAACCGUGUACGUACAAGCAGUGGGAGCCUCUUUAUGGGGUGACUGCGUACCUUUUGUAUAAUGGGUCAGCGACUUAUAUUCUGUAGCAAGGUUAACCGUAUAGGGGAGCCGAAGGGAAACCGAGUCUUAACUGGGCGUUAAGUUGCAGGGUAUAGACCCGAAACCCGGUGAUCUAGCCAUGGGCAGGUUGAAGGUUGGGUAACACUAACUGGAGGACCGAACCGACUAAUGUUGAAAAAUUAGCGGAUGACCUGUGGCUGGGGGUGAAAGGCCAAUCAAACCGGGAGAUAGCUGGUUCUCCCCGAAAGCUAUUUAGGUAGCGCCUCGUGAACUCAUCUUCGGGGGUAGAGCACUGUUUCGGCUAGGGGGCCAUCCCGGCUUACCAACCCGAUGCAAACUACGAAUACCGAAGAAUGUUAUCACGGGAGACACACGGCGGGUGCUAACGUCCGUCGUGAAGAGGGAAACAACCCAGACCGCCAGCUAAGGUCCCAAAGUCAUGGUUAAGUGGGAAACGAUGUGGGAAGGCACAGACAGCCAGGAUGUUGGCUUAGAAGCAGCCAUCAUUUAAAGAAAGCGUAAUAGCUCACUGGUCGAGUCGGCCUGCGCGGAAGAUGUAACGGGGCUAAACCAUGCACCGAAGCUGCGGCAGCGACACUAUGUGUUGUUGGGUAGGGGAGCGUUCUGUAAGCCGUUGAAGGUGUGCUGUGAGGCAUGCUGGAGGUAUCAGAAGUGCGAAUGCUGACAUAAGUAACGAUAAAGCGGGUGAAAAGCCCGCUCGCCGGAAGACCAAGGGUUCCUGUCCAACGUUAAUCGGGGCAGGGUGAGUCGACCCCUAAGGCGAGGCCGAAAGGCGUAGUCGAUGGGAAACAGGUUAAUAUUCCUGUACUUGGUGUUACUGCGAAGGGGGGACGGAGAAGGCUAUGUCAGCCGGGCGACGGUUGUCCCGGUUUAAGCAUGUAGGCGGAGGUUCCAGGUAAAUCCGGUACCUUAUUAACGCUGAGGUGUGAUGACGAGGCACUACGGUGCUGAAGUGAUAAAUGCCCUGCUUCCAGGAAAAGCCUCUAAGCAUCAGGUAACACGAAAUCGUACCCCAAACCGACACAGGUGGUCAGGUAGAGAAUACCAAGGCGCUUGAGAGAACUCGGGUGAAGGAACUAGGCAAAAUGGUGCCGUAACUUCGGGAGAAGGCACGCUGAUGUGUAGGUGAAGCCCCUGCGGGCGGAGCUGAAAUCAGUCGAAGAUACCAGCUGGCUGCAACUGUUUAUUAAAAACACAGCACUGUGCAAACACGAAAGUGGACGUAUACGGUGUGACGCCUGCCCGGUGCCGGAAGGUUAAUUGAUGGGGUUAGCGGCAACGCGAAGCUCUUGAUCGAAGCCCCGGUAAACGGCGGCCGUAACUAUAACGGUCCUAAGGUAGCGAAAUUCCUUGUCGGGUAAGUUCCGACCUGCACGAAUGGCGUAAUGAUGGCCAGGCUGUCUCCACCCGAGACUCAGUGAAAUUGAACUCGCUGUGAAGAUGCAGUGUACCCGCGGCAAGACGGAAAGACCCCGUGAACCUUUACUAUAGCUUGACACUGAACACUGGUCCUUGAUGUGUAGGAUAGGUGGGAGGCUUUGAAGCGUGGACGCCAGUCUG
rnacentral:rRNA from 1 species